rnacentral:rRNA from 1 species
GACGGAGGGUGCUAGCGUUGUUCGGAAUUACUGGGCGUAAAGGGCGCGUAGGCGGCUACGGCAGUCGGGUGUGAAAGCCCGGGGCUCAACCCCGGAACGGCACCCGAUACUCCGUGGCUCGAGACCGGGAGAGGAGGGUGGAAUACCCAGUGUAGAGGUGAAAUUCGUAGAUAUUGGGUGGAACACCGGUGGCGAAAGCGGCUCUCUGGCCCGGUUCUGACGCUGAGGCGCGAAAGCGUGGGGAGCAAACAGG